UGGGAGGAAAAAGAGGAUAGAGGGAGUGAAUAAGACGUGAGGAAAGACAGGAGGAGGGAUCAGAGACACAGGGGAGAGAGAAGAGAGGAGUAGAGAAGAGGAAGACGGGAUGGGAGAGGUGCAGAGAGAGAGGAGUAGAGGAAGGAGGACGGAACGGGAGAGGUGCAGAGAGAGAGAGAGGAGUAGAGGAGAGGAGGACGGGACGAGAGAGGUGCAGAGAGAGAGAGGAGUAGAGGAGAGGAGGAUGGGACGGGAGAGGUAGAGAGAGAGAGGAGUAGAGGAGAGGAGGACGGGACGUGAGAGGUGCAGAGAGAGAGAGGAGUAGAGGAGAGGAGGAUGGGAGGGGAGAGGUGCAGAGAGAGGGGAGUAGAGGAGAGGAGGACGGGACGGGAUGUGAGAGGUGCAGAGAGGGGGAGAGAGAGCGGAGUGGAGGAGAGGUGGAUGGGACGGGGGAGGUGCAGAGAGGGGGUGAGAGAGAGGAGUGGAGGAGAGGAGGACGGGACGGGAGAGGUGCAGAGAGAGUGGAGUAGAGGAGAAGAGUAGAGGAGAGGAGGACGGGACGGGAGAGGUGCAGAGAGAGAGAGAGAGGAGUAGAGGAGAGGAGAGGAGGACAGAACGGGAGAGGUGCAGAGAGGGAGAGAGAGAGGAGUAGAGGAGAGGAGGUCGGGACGGGAGAGGUGCAGAGAGAGAGCGGAGUAGAGGAGAGGAGGACGGAACGGGAGUGGUGAAGAGAGAGGGGAGUAGAGGAGAGGAGGCCAGGACUGGAGAGGUGCAGAGAGAGAGAGGAGUAGAGGAGAGGAGGACAGGACUGGAGAGGUGCAGAGAGAGAGAGGAGAGUAGAGGAGAGGAGGACGGGACGGGAGAGGUGCAGAGCGGGAGA
ensembl:lncRNA